rfam:Branchiostoma floridae genomic scaffold BRAFLscaffold_258, whole genome shotgun sequence.
GGGGGAUUAGCUCAGAUGGUAGAGCGCUCGCUUAGCAUGCGAGAAGUACGGGGAUCGAUACCCGGAUCCUCCA